AAACGAGAGAAAUAAAAUGAAUGUAAAACGACAAAAAUUAAAAGUCUACCUAUAUAGAGUUGUGAAAGUCCCGACUCCGGAUCCAAAGCAUCAGCAAUCUUUUGGAUUGUUCUAGAUGUGAGUGAACAAUGUUCCACAUUCAAGCUGUAAAGUGCUAAACAACAAACGGGGACACUUUAGCAUAAAUGCGUGAAUGGAAGAUAAGAGUCAAAAAUAUUAGUCUAAGAUUAGAUACUAUAGAUGACAGGCAAUCUUUAAAGAAACUAUACCCCGGCAGUUUUUCAAGAUGGUUGAGAGGUAUGAUCCACAAGCAUCAGUAAGUCGAUUACUGGACACAUUGAGGACUUCCAGCCGAGUGAACAGAACAGGGCAUUCACAGAUCUG